rnacentral:tRNA from 1 species
GGCCUCGUAGUGUACGAGACAGCACGCGACCGUCCGAAGGUCGAGGAUCGGGUGCAAUUCCUGGCGAGGCCGCCA